AGGACGAACGCUGGCGGCGUGCUUAACACAUGCAAGUGGAGCGACGAACCAGGGCUUGCCCUGGGGCAGAGCGGCGAACGGGUGAGUAACACGUGAGUAAUCUGCCCCUAGCUCUGGGAUAGCUCCGGGAAACCGGGAUUAAUACCGGAUACGACCACUUUAGACAUCUGUUGUGGUGGAAAGAAUUUUGGCUAGGGAUGAGCUCGCGGCCUAUCAGCUUGUUGGUGGGGUAAUGGCCUACCAAGGCGACGACGGGUA
rnacentral:rRNA from 1 species